UCUUUUGCUAGCAAAUGAAUGAAACCCUACUGAAACUGGCUGAAGCAAAACCAGAAAAAGUGGAGGAGGGAUGUAUUGGCUCACAUAACUGAGUGGCUGGGACAGGAUUAGCAUGGAGUCUGACUCCAGGGAGCACCAUUCAACAAUUCUGGAGGUUGGGUGCCCUAGACUGUCCAAAAGGUAUGGAAAACACUGAUAUAGCCAAAAUAAAAUAAAUCAUGGAAAAUGAAUUGAACUGAGCCUAAAUAGGAUUGUGCUGAGCACAGCAGUAUUCCGCUUCAAGGAUACAUCCACCAGUCUGUUCCCGAGGAUUUCAUCUCUACUUCUCAAGGGAAGCACCCUAUACUUAUAACACAAAUCUACCGUCAAUGUAAGACUCCAGACCGUUCCUCAGGGGCACUCCAUAAGAGUUUAGCUUCACAAAACUGACAAUAGGGCCUUAUCCCCUUCUGACUGGGAAUCCUAAAUCAAGAUUGGAUUAUAAGUAUGGUGGGCUACUCUGGCUUUAUGGGGCAUGAAGAGAGGCUGAGACUUAGCAUGAGACAUACCUAAUAGCAUGGGACAGGCUUGAAAGGACUGCAGAGAAUAAUGACAGUAGAAGAGCUAGACAGGAGCCACUAUUAUCAAGAAAUACUGUAGCCUCAGUCACAGCAGAGACAAAAACUGGCAAGGGGUUUCCAAUCAGAAGUAUUGGGAGCUUGAAGGUGUGUUCAUGAGUGCCUCCAGCAGGAAAGAGUCCUCACCAUCAUGGCUGAGUUCAGAGCUAGAGUAGACGCAGGACAUAUUGAAACUGCCAGUUGGUGGCAGAUAAAAGAAGCCAGAAACAAGUGGAAUUGGGAUCACCAGAAAGUGACUCCGCUGCAAUACUGGCCUUUUUAGAGAGGGGUCAGCACUGAAACACACUGGGGCCAUGUAGAAAGGACCCAAAGAAGGAGUGGGAGGCACAAAAUCAGUGGACACGGUCACUAGAUACUCAGGAAGACAGAAGGAUAGGAAAUGAGGUGGAAUUGAAUCACCUUACAGAAUUCUACACUAGGACAUAGUGGAUUUCACUGGGAGGACAAAUGGCAAGAGGUUUCUAGAGCUGUGAGCACCGAGGAGGUGUUGAAACAUCUCUGGAAUGUGUGGUGAUCACCUUGGCAGAGAUGGGAUCAGCAAUGAUGAUUCAUCCCUAUGUAUGAAGAAGAUGGCCUUCAAGAUUCUGGAACUGAGGCCAAUAUGAAAACACAAAAGGAGUGAAGGCUGUGAAAGCAACAUGUAUUUCCUGGACACGAGAAAAUUUUAAAAAAGUCAGGCACAAGAGGUCAUUUGGAUGUGUAGGCCUGGCCAACAGGGACUUUGGAGUGGUGUCUGAGGUAAUGUCCCCAGGGCUGGGAGAGGGGGUUGGAAUGCCCUAGACCAGGGGUGGGCAAACUU